ensembl:lncRNA
GAUCCUGGCAAUAAUUAGGCAGGAUGCAAUGUUAGGAGGUCAAGGAAGCACUGAGGAAGAAGCAGGUGGAAGGCAAUGAGCUUUGUUCCUGCUGAGGAGGCUGGUGUCUGGUUAAUGGAGACAUGGCUCUGCUCCCACGUUGUGCCAGGGGUGAUGAGGUGACAAGGAUGAACUCCUGCUGAUGGCAGCUGGUCCUGCUCUUCUCCAGCUCUGGAUGUGCUGAUGGCUGGUUUCGGUGGCAAGAUGGAUAGAGCCUGGAGGAGGUGCUGGCGUGACCCCCAGCCUGCUGGCCACACCAGCCCUCUGUGCACAGUCACAAUGCGAUUUCUUUCUGUGGAGUAACGAAGGAAGACAAAUGCUGCUUUCCUGUAGACGUUUGAGGGAGCUGGGAUUUGCCAUAAGUGCAGUCAUAUACAAAUAUGCCUGGAGGAAAUUAUGGCAUCUUUGUGGAUUUCUGUGCGGUUGAUAUUAUAUCUGAACCAACCUAAAUAGAGCCAGGGGAAGAGCUCACAUGCAGAGCUUUUGAAGGAACAAGAAGGCAGCAUCAUUUAUUAGGCAAUAUUAAGAACUUUUUCUGAAAUAAUACAACCUUACAUCAGAACAAACACUUUCUCUCAAACAUUAUUAUGAGUGGCUUUCAUGAACUGCGUAAUUUCCAGUUCCAUGGAGCUCAGAAUUGCAGGAGCUGCUCCCAGUGGAGCUGCACAUGGCUGCCAGCUCCAUGACUUUCUACCCAAU